rnacentral:rRNA from 1 species
GACGAACGCUGGCGGCGUGCUUAACACAUGCAAGUCGAACGGAAAGGCCCUGCUUUUGUGGGGUGCUCGAGUGGCGAACGGGUGAGUAGCACGUGAGUAACCUGCCCUUGACUUUGGGAUAACUUCAGGAAACUGGGGCUAAUACCGGAUAGGAGCUCCUGCUGCAUGGUGGGGGUUGGAAAGUUUCGGCGGUUGGGGAUGGACUCGCGGCUUAUCAGCUUGUUGGUGGGAUAGUGGCUUACCAAGGCUUUGACGGGUAGCCGGCCUGAGAGGGUGACCGGCACAAUGGGACCGGGGAUACGGCCAGACUCCCACGGGGGGGAAGAGGGGGGGAAUUUGCACAAUGGGGGGGAGGCCUAGUGAACAACCCCCCGGGGGGGAUGACGGGCCUCGGGGUGGAAACCCCUUUUCGCCUGGAAGAAGGCGUAGGGACCGGAAAUGGAGAAGAAGCCCCGGCCAACUUCGUG